UACAGCCAUAUCACAAUGAAAUUCUGGUUCUUGUAUGAUCACUGAAGUUCAGCAACAUUGAGCUUGAUCAGUAAGAUGGGUGACUGCUUGGGAAAACCAGGUGCUGUAAG